rnacentral:rRNA from 1 species
AGAGAUCAUGGCUCAGGAUGAACGCUAGCGGCAGGCUUAAUACAUGCAAGUCGAGGGGCAGCACGGGUAGCAAUACCUGGUGGCGACCGGCAAACGGGUGCGGAACGCGUACAGAACCUUCCUUUAAGUGGGGCAUAGCCCGGAGAAAUCCGGAUUAAUACCCCGUAAUAUUAUGGUGUGGCAUCACACUUUAAUUAAAGAUUUAUCGCUUAGAGAUGGCUGUGCGGCUGAUUAGGUAGUUGGUGUGGGUAACGGCCCACCAAGCCAACGAUCAGUAACUGGUGUGAGAGCACGACCAGUCACACGGGCACUGAGACACGGGCCCGACUCCUACGGGAGGCAGCAGUAAGGAAUAUUGGUCAAUGGAGGCAACUCUGAGCCAGCCAUGCCGCGUGAAGGAUGAAGGCCCUCUGGGUUGUAAACUUCUUUUAUCUGGGACGAAACACUUAUAUUCUUAUAAGCUUGACGGUACCAGAGGAAUAAGCACCGGCUAACUCCGUGCCAGCAGCCGCGGUAAUACGGAGGGUGCAAGCGUUAUCCGGAUUCACUGGGUUUAAAGGGUGCGUAGGUGGGUUUGUAAGUCAGUGGUGAAAUCUCCGUGCUUAACAUGGAAACUGCCAUUGAUACUAUAGAUCUUGAAUUUUCUGGAGGAUAGCGGAAUAUGUCAUGUAGCGGUGAAAUGCUUAGAUAUGACAUAGAACACCAAUUGCGAAGGCAGCUAUCUACAGGGAUAUUGACACUGAGGCACGAAAGCGUGGGGAUCAAACAGGAUUAGAUACCCUGGUAGUCCACGCCCUAAACGAUGGAUACUCGACAUUUGUGAUACACAAUAAGUGUCUGAGCGAAAGCAUUAAGUAUCCCACCUGGGA